GCAAGUCGAACGAACCUUCGGGUUAGUGGCGGCCGGGUGAGUAACGCGUGAGAAUCUGCCCUCAGGAGGGGGAUAACGGCUGGAAACGGCCGCUAAUGCCCCAUAUGCCGAGAUGUGAUAUGAAUUUCGCCUGAGGAUGAGCUCGCGUCUGAUUAGCUAGUUGGUGUGGUAAAGGCUCACCAAGGCAUCGAUCAGUAGCUGGUCUGAGAGGAGGAUC
rnacentral:rRNA from 1 species